GAUGAACGCUGGCGGCGUGCCUAAUACAUGCAAGUCGAGCGAACAGACGAGGAGCUUGCUCCUCUGACGUUAGCGGCGGACGGGUGAGUAACACGUGGAUAACCUACCUAUAAGACUGGGAUAACUUCGGGAAACCGGAGCUAAUACCGGAUAAUAUAUUGAACCGCAUGGUUCAAUAGUGAAAGACGGUUUUGCUGUCACUUAUAGAUGGAUCCGCGCCGCAUUAGCUAGUUGGUAAGGUAACGGCUUACCACGGCAACGAUGCGUAGCCGACCUGAGAGGGGGAUAGGCGACACUGGAACUGAGACACGGUCCAGACUACUACGAGAGGCAGCAGAAGGGAAUCUUCCGCAAUGGGGGAAAGCCUGACGGAGCAACGCCACGUGAGUGAUGAAGGUCUUCGGAUCGUAAAACUCUGUUAUUAGGGAAGAACAAAUGUGUAAGUAACUAUGCACGUAUUGACGGUACCUAAUCAGAAAGCCACGGCUAACUACGUG
rnacentral:rRNA from 1 species